CAAUCUUGUGAGUAAAGUGGCGUACGGGUGAGUAACACGUGGAUUAUCUACCUUCUAGUGGGGGAUAACCCUGGGAAACCGGGGCUAAUACCGCAUAAGCUCGAGAGAGGAAAGCAGCAAUGCGCUGGAAGAGGAGUCCGCGGCCGAUUAGCUAGUUGGUAGGGUAAAAGCCUACCAAGGCUACGAUCGGUAGCCGGCCUGAGAGGGCACACGGCCACACUGGCACUGAAACACGGGCCAGACUCCUACGGGAGGCAGCAGUGGGGAAUCUUGCACAAUGGGGGCAACCCUGAUGCAGCGACGCCGCGUGAGCGAUGAAGCCCUUCGGGGUGUAAAGCUCUUUCGGCAGGGAAGAUUAUGACGGUACCUGCAGAAGCAGCUGUGGCUAACUACGUGCCAGCAGCCGCGGUAAUACGUAGGCAGCAAGCGUUGUUCGGAGUUACUGGGCGUAAAGGGUGUGUAGGCGGUUCUCUAAGUCUGGUGUGAAAUCUCCCGGCUCAACUGGGAGGGUGCGCCGAAAACUGGAGGACUAGAGUGCGGGAUGGGAGAGUGGAAUUCCUGGUGUAGCGGUGAAAUGCGUAGAUAUCAGGAGGAACACCUGUGGUGUAGACGGCUCUCUGGACCGCAACUGACGCUGAGACACGAAAGCGUGGGUAGCAAACAGGAUUAGAUACCCUGGUAGUCCACGCCCUAAACGAUGCAUAUUUUGGUGUGGGCCAUUCAUUUGGUCUGUGCCGGAGCUAACGCGUUAAAUAUGCCGCCUGGGGGAGUACGGUCGCAAAGCUGAAACUCAAAGG
rnacentral:rRNA from 1 species